rnacentral:rRNA from 1 species
AGCCACACUGGGACUGAGACACGGCCCAGACUCCUACGGGAGGCAGCAGUGGGGAAUAUUGCACAAUGGGGGAAACCCUGAUGCAGCCAUGCCGCGUGUGUGAAGAAGGCCUUCGGGUUGUAAAGCACUUUCAGUUGUGAGGAAAAGUUAGUAGUUAAUACCUGCUAGCCGUGACGUUAACAACAGAAGAAGCACCGGCUAACUCCGUGCCAGCAGCCGCGGUAAUACGGAGGGUGCGAGCGUUAAUCGGAAUUACUGGGCGUAAAGCGCACGCAGGCGGUUUGUUAAGCUAGAUGUGAAAGCCCCGGGCUCAACCUGGGAUGGUCAUUUAGAACUGGCAGACUAGAGUCUUGGAGAGGGGAGUGGAAUUCCAGGUGUAGCGGUGAAAUGCGUAGAUAUCUGGAGGAACAUCAGUGGCGAAGGCGACUCCCUGGCCAAAGACUGACGCUCAUGUGCGAAAGUGUGGGUAGCGAACAGGAU